AGUCAACGCUAGCGGCGUGCUUCAGGCAUGCAAGUUGAACGAGAAAGUUCUCUUCGGAGAGCGAGUAUAGUAGCGCACGGGUGAGGAGUACUUAGGUAACUUACCCUCUCGCUGGGGAUAACAGGUGGAAACGCCUGCUAAUACCGAAUAGUCUUAUCAUUUCCUCGGAUUUGAUAAGUAAAGCUACGGCGCGAGAGGAGAGGCCUCAGUCCUAUUAGUUUGUUGGUAAGGUAAUGGCUUACCAAGACUACGAUAGGUAGCUGGUCUGAGAGGAUGUACAGCCACACUGGAACUGAAACACGGUCCAGACUCCUACGGGAGGCAGCAGCUAGGAAUAUUGCGCAAUGGGGGAAACCCUGACGCAGCAACGCCGCGUGAGUGAUGAAGGCCUUCGGGUUGUAAAGCUCUUUUAGUUAGGAAGAAAAAAAUGACGGUACUAACAGAAAAAGCACCGGCAAACUUCG
rnacentral:rRNA from 1 species